rnacentral:rRNA from 1 species
AUACCAGCCCCGCGAGCGGUCGGGGUGCUUACUGGGCCUAAAGCGCCCGUAGCCGGCUCGACAAGUCCCCGCCUAAAGCCCCGGGCUCAACCCGGGGAGUGGCGGGGAUACUGUCGGGCUAGGGGGCGGGGGAGGCCGAGGGUACUCCCGGGGUAGGGGCGAAAUCCAUUAAUCCCGGGAGGACCACCAGUGGCGAAGGCGCUCGGCUGGAACGCGCCCGACGGUGAGGGGCGAAAGCCGGGGGAGCGAACCGGAUUAGAAACCCUAGUAGUCC